rnacentral:rRNA from 1 species
UACGUAGGGUGCAAGCGUUGUCCGGAAUUAUUGGGCGUAAAGAGCUCGUAGGUGGCCUGUCGCGUCGGCUGUGAAAACUCGGGGCUCAACUCCGAGCUUGCAGUCGAUACGGGCAGGCUAGAGUUCGGCAGGGGAGACUGGAAUUCCUGGUGGUAGCGGUGAAAUGCGCAGAGUAUCAGGAGGAACACCGGUGGCGAAGGCGGGUCUCUGGGCCGAUACUGACACUGAGGAGCGAAAGCGUGGGGAGCGAACAG